GACUAACGCUGGCGGCGCGCCUAACACAUGCAAGUCGAACGGGGUAGCAAUACCCAGUGGCAGACGGGUGAGUAACACGUAGAUAACGUGCCCUUUAGUCGGGGAUAGCCACUCGAAAGGGUGGGUAAUACCGGGUGAGAUCGUUUCGGGGCAUCCUGAGACGAUGAAAGCAGCAAUGCGCUAGAGGAGCGGUCUGUGGCCUAUUAGCUAGUUGGUGAGGUAAUGGCUCACCAAGGCGACGAUGGGUAGCCGGUCUGAGAGGAUGAUCGGCCACACUGGCACUGAGAUACGGGCCAGACUCCUACGGGAGGCAGCAGUGAGGAAUUUUGCGCAAUGGGCGAAAGCCUGACGCAGCGACGCCGCGUGAGGGAUGAAGGCCUUCGGGUUGUAAACCUCUGUCAGUGGGGAAGAGACAGGACGGUACCCGCUGAGGAAGCUUCGGCUAACUACGUGCCAGCAGCCGCGGUAAUACGUAGGGAGCGAGCGUUGUCCGGAUUUACUGGGCGUAAAGGGCUUGUAGGCGGGGCGGCGCAUCCCGGAGUAAAUCCAACGGCUUAACCGUUGGCCUUUCUGGGAGAUGGCCG
rnacentral:rRNA from 1 species